GGGGAAUUUUGGACAAUGGGGGAAACCCUGAUCCAGCAAUGCCGCGUGCAGGAUGAAGGCCUUCGGGUUGUAAACUGCUUUUGUACGGAACGAAAAGUCUUGGGUUAAUACCCUGGGAUCAUGACGGUACCGUAAGAAUAAGCACCGGCUAACUACGUGCCAGCAGCCGCGGUAAUACGUAGGGUGCAAGCGUUAAUCGGAAUUACUGGGCGUAAAGCGUGCGCAGGCGGUUUUGUAAGACAGUGGUGAAAUCCCCGGGCUCAACCUGGGAACUGCCAUUGUGACUGCAAGGCUGGAGUGCGGCAGAGGGGGAUGGAAUUCCGCGUGUAGCAGUGAAAUGCGUAGAUAUGCGGAGGAACACCGAUGGCGAAGGCAAUCCCCUGGGCCUGCACUGACGCUCAUGCACGAAAGCGUGGGGAGCAAAC
rnacentral:rRNA from 1 species